ensembl:snoRNA SNORA72 Small nucleolar RNA SNORA72
CUGUGAAUAUUCUCACUACUGAUUUUGUAAUAAUCAGGGCACGCUAAAUAUUUGCUAUAUUUAGACCAUGACUGUGUCCCCAGACCUACUUCUUUCCUUAGAUCUGAUUUUAUAAAUGCUGGUGAUAAAU